GCUUUGCAGAUGUAAUAAGAAUCCAUAUGGAAAUUAACAUUGUAAAUGAACUAUACAUCAAUUGAAAUAGUUAUUUCUUAGGGCAUUAUGCUGUUAAUAUAGCAGAAAUAAGGAGAAAUAAGGUGUUCUUUGCUUAACUAAGGAAAAAAAAUCAACGUAGCUCAUCAUAUUACAAUAACAAGGAAAAACUGGUCAUCUCAAGAGAUGACAAAAGAAUUAGACAAAAUUAAGCAUCCAUUCAUGUCAAGUUUCUCAUCUAGGCAAGGAUAGAAAACGACGUCCACAGUAUAAGUGCAUCUAUAAGUGCAUCUACUUCCAGCGAAGGUCAUCCUCAGUGGUGAGACUGACUGCGUUCCCUUUAUGAUUGGGAAGAUGAGGUUAUCUGCUCUCGUCACUCCUAUUCCAUGUCGGGCUGGAAGUCCCGGCCAUUCCAGCGGAGCAAGAUAAAGACGUAAAAACACAUGGAGAAUGGGGUACAGUAGAACUAUGCACAGACAACAUGAGCGUAUGUAGAAAACCUUAAGUCAUCUUCCAUAAAGCCGCCAACUCUAUUAAAUAGUGUUUAGCAAGUCUGCAGGAUCAAAUGUCAAAAUACAAAAAUCAGUUGUAUUUCUCUGACAAGCCUAGACAGCGUAUUAAAAGGCAGAGACAUCGCUUCCCCGACAAAGGCCCACCUAGUCUAGUCACGUGCUGCUAGGUGGCUCCCUGAAGCCCCGGCCGCUGCCCCGCCCCAGCGAGUGAGGCGGCAGGUCUGGGGCGGGGCCUGGGGACCUGCGUUUCCCAGGGGUUCCCAGGCGCUGCCGCCGCUGCAGGAGCCCCAGGACCCCGUCCUGAGAGCUGCCGCUGGGGCCGAAGCCAUUGCAGAGAGGACCCCUCGGCUGCUCCCCUUCGGAAGGACCCGCAGCCCCGUCCAGUGCGAGUGAGCUGUCUCUGCUGGACCACUGGCUCCAUGGUGCGGAGCUCGAGGGCAGGGCCUCCCUUCCGUCCUGAAGAGAUUCGCCUCUGCAGCCAGAUUGAGAACCCCAGAAAGUGAGCCCCAUGGGCCUCGACAGGACUGAGCCGGCUUGCUGGAGAUGUAGACCGACCCAGCAUGCGAGUGUCCCCAGCGCAGCGGACUGCCGCCAGCCUGCUCCGCUCCUUCUGAACAGAUUCCAGUCAGAUCCAGACAGGGUGCCUACUCCUGUGGUGGCCGUCGCUGCAGCCCGGGGCCCUCUGCAGCAGACGCAGGUCGUAAAGAAGAUCUCUGCACACGGACAGGCUCUCCAGGAUUUAGUCUGCUCAAGGCAAAAGCAGGCCACAGGACAGCACAUACAGAGCGACUCGGUUUGAGUUUCAGCACGCCCACAGGCACAGCACUCAGAUCGUGCGUUUAUAUAAGCACGAGCCUGUGUUAAGUUGACCAGAAAAGUUCGGUUGGGUUUUUCUGUAACAUCUUCUGGAAAAAAGCAAAAGAACUUUUUGACCAACUCAAUAUACAAGUUAAGGGAUGGGAUGCGUGUGCCUGCUCAGUCAUGUCCAACUCUUUGCAACCCCAUGGACUGUAGCCUGCCAGGCUCCUCUGUCCAUGGGAUGUUCCAGGCAAGAAUACUGGAGUGGGUUGCCAUUUCCUCCUCCAGGGGAUCUUCCUGACCCGGUGAGCGAACCCAAGUCUGCGGCGCUUCUUGCACUGACAAGUGGAUUCUUUGCCACUGAGCCACCUGGGAAGGCACGUCUGCCAAAGUGGACGCCAAAACUAAACAGCAAGUACACCGGGAGUCAGGGGCUUGAUCAAGAUGGACUUGGAUUUUAUUGCUAACACCUUAAUUUUUAUGAGACUGCUCAAGAAUUACUGUGUGAUCUCAAAUAAAAAUGUAAAUUGCACCCUUCUUGCAAAGGUGUGGGGAGAAUUAUACCCUGAGAGCCUAGUACAGCCCUGCCCUCCUGCACUGCUCCUCCUCAGCACCUCCACUCCAGGAACCAGCCCAGAACCAGGUCAUUUAUUCACUCAACAAGCUGGUGCUGCUGCCCCUUCUGUGUGUCCUCGGCCUGGAUUCUGGGUCAGAGGUGGUUCCAAGGUGGGCCUGGCCUGGGCUGGAGAGUCUCCCGGCCCCAGGGGACAUGGCAGGCGGACUUGAUGCCCAGCCUGGCUUCCACACAUGUCUCCUAAAUGUUUGGAGGUGCUAAAAAACCCAGCAAUAGUAUUUUUCAUG